CCUACGGGCGGCAGCAGUGGGGAAUAUUGCACAAUGGGCGAAAGCCUGAUGCAGCAACGCCGCGUGAGCGAAGAAGGCCUUUGGGUCGUAAAGCUCUGUCGGGUAGGAAGAUAAUGACGGUACUACCCGAGGAAGCCCCGGCUAACUACGUGCCAGCAGCCGCGGUAAUACGUAGGUGGCAAGCGUUGUCCGGAAUUACUGGGCGUAAAGGGCGUGUAGGCGGGAUGGCAAGUCAGAUGUGAAAGCCCGGGGCUUAACUCCGGAACUGCAUCUGAAACUGCUGUUCUUGAGUGCUGGAGAGGAAAGUGGAAUUCCCAGUGUAGCGGUGAAAUGCGUAGAGAUUGGGAGGAACACCCGUGGCGAAGGCGGCUUUCUGGACAGUAACUGACGCUGAGGCGCGAAAGCGUGGGGAGCGAACAGGAUUAGAUACCCGGGUAG
rnacentral:rRNA from 1 species